rnacentral:hammerhead_ribozyme from 1 species
AUCUAUUUGACGAGUUUCAAAUGGGACGAAACGUGAGUCCUGGAU